rnacentral:rRNA from 1 species
UAAGGAAUAUUGGUCAAUGGACGCAAGUCUGAACCAGCCAUGCCGCGUGAAGGAUGAAGGUCCUCUGGAUUUUAAACUUCUUUUAUCUGGGACGAAAACGGGAUUUUUAUCUCAAUUGACGGUACCAGAGGAAUAAGCACCGGCUAACUCCGUGCCAGCAGCCGCGGUAAUACGGAGGGUGCGAGCGUUAUCCGGAUUUACUGGGUUUAAAGGUUGCGUAGGUGGGCUUAUAAGUCAGUGGUGAAAUCUCCGAGCUUAACUUGGAAACUGCCGUUGAUACUAUAGGUCUUGAAUUAUCUGGAGGUAAGCGGAAUAUGUCAUGUAGCGGUGAAAUGCUUAGAUAUGACAUAGAACACCAAUUGCGAAGGCAGCUUACUACAUAUAAAUUGACGCUGAGGCACGAAAGCGUGGGGAUCAAACA